rnacentral:ncRNA from 20 species
GGAUAUUUUCGUGAAUAGGGUUGCUUCAAGGCAUUAAUAUGGGAACUCUGGUGAGAAACCAGGACAGCCCCGCUACUGUAUGAAGGACGAAUCCCUUAAAAGACCACUGGCUAAGACCGGGAAGGCAAGGGAUGAGGAUGAUUUCAAGUCAGGAUACCUGCCCUGUUCAGGAACACAAGU